rnacentral:rRNA from 1 species
AGACGAAGGUGGCAACCGUUGUUCGGAAUCACUGGGCAUAAAGCGCGCGUAGGCGGCAGCGUAAGUCGGAUGUGAAAUCCCUCGGCUCAACCGAGGAACUGCGUCCGAAACUGCGUAGCUUGAGGACAGAAGGGGAGCGUGGAAUUCCGGGUGGAGCGGUGAAAUGCGUUGAUAUCCGGAGGAACACCGGCGGCGAAGGCGACGCUCUGGUCUGUUUCUGACGCUGAGGUGCGAAAGCCAGGGGAGCAAACGGGAUUAGAAACCCCUGUAGUCC